AAGCAUAUCAAUAAGCGGAGGAAAAGAAACUAACAAGGAUUCCCCUAGUAACUGCGAGUGAAGCGGGAAAAGCUCAAAUUUAAAAUCUGGCAGUCUUUGGCUGUCCGAAUUGUAUUCUGGAGAAGCGUUUUCCGCGCUGGACCGUGUACAAGUCUCUUGGAAUAGAGCGUCAUAGAGGGUGAGAAUCCCGUCUUUGACACGGACUACCAGUGCUUUGUGAUGCGCUCUCAAAGAGUCGAGUUGUUUGGGAAUGCAGCUCAAAAUGGGUGGUGAAUUCCAUCUAAAGCUAAAUAUUGGCGAGAGACCGAUAGCGAACAAGUACCGUGAGGGAAAGAUGAAAAGCACUUUGGAAAGAGAGUUAAACAGUACGUGAAAUUGCUGAAAGGGAAACGCUUGAAGUCAGUCGCGUCAGUCAGAACUCAGCCCGGCUUUUGCUUGGUGUAUUUUCUGGUUGACGGGCCAGCAUCAAUUUUGACCGCUGGAAAAAGGCCAUAGGAAUGUGGCACCCUCGGGUGUGUUAUAGCCUAUGGUCAUAUGCAGCGAUUGGGAUUGAGGACCGCAGCACGCCUUUAUGGUUGGGGUUCGCCCACAUUCGUGCUUAGGAUGCUGGCGUAAUGGCUUUAAACGACCCGUCUUGAAACACGGACCAAGGAGUCUAACAUGCCUGCGAGUGUUUGGGUGGAAAACCCGAGCGCACAAUGAAAGUGAAAGUUGGGAUCCCUGUCGUGGGGAGCACCGACGCCCGGACCAGACCUUUUGUGACGGAUCCGCGGUAGAGCAUGUAUGUUGGGACCCGAAAGAUGGUGAACUAUGCCUGAAUAGGGUGAAGCCAGAGGAAACUCUGGUGGAGGCUCGUAGCGAUUCUGACGUGCAAAUCGAUCGUCAAAUUUGGGUAUAGGGGCGAAAGACUAAUC
rnacentral:rRNA from 1 species